GAAUCUAGUCUGACAAACAAAAACAACAAAUUUCUUCUAUAAACAUGGCCGCAAAAUCCAUUCUCCUCUUGGCAAUCGUAGCAACCCUGUUUGCUGUUGCCGUAGCUGUUCCUGCUCCGCAACCACAAGCGUUGCUAGGAAAACUUAACGUUGAUUCCGAAGGCCUUACCGCUGUCGAUGCACCACAUUCUGCUCAAGCUCCGGGAGCUGCCCAAAACCUGAAGGCUCCUAUAUCAGGCUAAACCCGCGUUGCCAUGCUGGACGGAUCGACUCAAACAUUGAUCGUAAAGUAAAUAAAGAGCACCACUUGCACUGCAUGAGA